rnacentral:rRNA from 1 species
UACGUAGGGUGCAAGCGUUGUCCGGAAUUAUUGGGCGUAAAGAGCUCGUAGGCGGUGUGUCGCGUCGGCCGUGAAAACCUGCAGCUUAACUGUGGGCUUGCGGUCGAUACGGGCAUCACUGGAGUUCGGCAGGGGAGACUGGAAUUCCUGGUGUAGCGGUGAAAUGCGCAGAUAUCAGGAGGAACACCGGUGGCGAAGGCGGGUCUCUGGGCCGAUAUUGACGCUGAGGAGCGAAAGCGUGGGGAGCAAACAGG